rnacentral:rRNA from 1 species
CCGUCCUAGUUCAGAUUGCAGUCUGCAACUCGACUGCAUGAAGUCGGAAUCGCUAGUAAUCGCGGAUCAGCAUGCCGCGGUGAAUACGUUCCCGGGCCUUGUACACACCGCCCGUCACACCAUGAGAGUCGGGAACACCCGAAGUCCGUAGCCUAACCGCAAGGGGGCGCGGCCGAAGGUGGGUUCGAUAAUUGGGGUGAAGUCGUAACAAGGUAGC